GAACACUGGGCCGCUGAAGCAGAGACAAGCUGAAGGCAAACCUGAGAACAAGAACACAAGGCCAGGGGCUGGAGAGAUAGCCCAGCUGGUACCUACCAUGCCAAGCAGUGCGCUGAUAAUUUAUGCAAGCGAAACGCCUAUAUGCAUAAUGUAAGUUUUAAAAAGUAGAUGGCGCAAUAUUGUAUUCCAAAGAGAACUAGAAAAGUGAGCU
rnacentral:lncRNA from 1 species